GGAGUAUUAACGGUAAUAAUGAAGGAUUGGUAAAGGAGGCUCCAGGGCAAUCUAUGAUUCUAUAAAUAGUUGCCUUAGUCCUAAGAAAAGAUCAUCGAAUAACGGAGAAUAACACUUGAUACUUUACAUCUUUGAUUGGAAAUUCUUGAUCUAUUGUUCUCUUUAUUCUUAUUGAAAGCCAUCAUUAUUUAUCGUCUCUUGAUUAUCAGUAACCCGUAAUUUAUUCAUUAUAUUCAUAGAUUUAGUCAAAAUCUAUUUUUUGGUUAAACAGUUUCCAAGGAUGAAACAAGAGAAAGCUCCGAGGAAGACACCAAACCCAGCCUAUGGUCGUUUAUUCACAUAAACGUAACCAAAUUAUAAGGAGGAAGAUGGAAAUAUGAGUGUCAAAUAGAGGUAACUGACAAAAAGAUACUAUUUCAAGUAAGUCACGAUGAACUUUUAAAAUAAUUCUUUGUUCUUGAAAGCAAAAAGGGUACAAUAAUUUAUUUUGUUACUGUUGCCAUUUAGUAAUUCCGAUGAUGUAUUAAUGUGAAGUCUUUUUUCCCCGUUGUUAGAUUGUGGUGGUCCUAUUGAAGUUUAGAUACAUAGUAUAAGGUUUAUUCAACAAUCUCCCUUGGACAACAAGAAAUCCUAAGAAGAAAGUUAAGAAAAGCAAAGGUCGUGGCUUCGGCCACUCUCGCUUCAGCUAAUCAUCAAGACAAAGCCAAGUUGAUUGCAUAUUUAAAUGAAAUGAAAGAAGUGAAAGUUAGGAUAUUUGUGGUGUUGAAUUAUAAUGUUUAAGGUUAGUUUGAUGGAUCAGCGUUUUAGGAUAUCCAUAUGCUGAACAUCAAUUUGUCUUCGAUGGUUCUGUGACACUUUCAUCUGGAAGGCACUAUGCAUGUCAAUUUUGAUGCUUUUCUUGUAUUUUAAAAAGGGACUUAUUCAUUUCUUUAUAAGAUGUUGCAUCUGUAUACCUUUUCAAUGCCAAGUACUCUAUAAUUACAGUAUCUCAUGGAUUAUGGAUUCUUUUCUUCUAAUACACUUCGAUGUGUUAUCUAAGUGAACUUCAUUAAUCCAAAUCAAAUAUAUCUAACAUCAAUACCUGUGCACUUAGCAUUACUCAUACACACUGAAUGAUAUUUUUUUCCCUUUUCUUCUUAUGUAUCACUUAUAUUGUAGGUAAUAUUGUUGACUAUAUUGCAACAUAUGCAGAUACAUGUAAGUAGUAAUAUCGCCUAUAUUGAUCAGUUUUGUUAUUAACUUAUUCAUCUGAGUACCAACUUGGUUCUGGCAAACUUACUAAUUUUUCAUGUUUAUGUGUGGCUCUUGCCUUGAUCAUAAACAGAAGUAUGAAUAACCUGACCAUACCUUUUAUUUUGUUGAGAAAGAACACUUAUCAUCAAUAUUUAUUUUAUCAAAUAAUAACCUUCAAUAAUAUUUAACAAGAAGCAUGAAGCAUGGUUACACUGACAACAUAUAAUACUACUUGCUAUAAAACUAUUUAUGUGCAGUUGUUGCCUUGGUCGUGAACAGAAGUAUGAACAAUUUGACCGUGCCUUUUAUUUUGUUUAGAAAGUUACUUUAUCAUCGAUAUUUGUAUAUCAAAAAAGAACCUUCUAUAACAUUUAACUGGGGUAUACUUACAAUGAAAACAUAUGGUACUACUCAGUACUCACUAUAAAACUACUUAUGUGCAGCUCUUGCAUUGCUGUGAACAGAAGUAUGGUUAAUCUGUGCGUACUUUUUCUUUUGUAGAGAAAACAUCAAUAUUUAUGCAUCAAAUAAGAAGCUUCUAUGAUAUUUAACAGAGACAUGGAUACACUGACAAUAUAUAGUAAUACUUACUAAAACUAUAUUUCUAUUAAACUUAUCUAUCUCUGUAAAUUAAGUUACCGGAUAACUGAUGAAGACAUUUUGUGCAUUGCUGAUAAAAUGUAACAGAUUUUAUGCAAUUCCUCUUCCUAUAACAGAAUUUCACAGAAUGAUCAGGAAAAAGGAUAAUGAUCGCAACUACUCUGUCAGCUCUUGCGAUAAGCUUUUAACCUUAAUCCCUCCUCUCACAUAACUGACAAUUGAACUUACUGGAAAUGUAUAUAGGCUCUUUACUUCUAGCUUCCUUUCCAUAGAUAUUGAUUUUAUUUGAACAACAUUGCACAAUUAUUGUCUGAUAAAAGAUUACACCUUAUAUAAUAGAUUAUAACUUUACUCCAGUAACUCAGAAGACAUAAGUUUUUCUUUGCAUUGUCCUAUAGCUACUCAACAAUGCAAGUAUUCUAUCUAUGUUUGUAGUUAAAUGGAAUCAUGCCUGGUGAUCUAAGAGGUGCUACCUGCAACUUUCGGAACGAAGAUAGGAAUACAAGGGCAUUUCGAAUGUGGUACCUGCUUGAAUACUAUGGGCAAGCUAAAAGAAACAAACUACUGAUGUUCUGAAGUUGCAAUAUACACACGAGAAUGCAAAUACAUAUUUGAAGAUGCAUCAACGAUAUACACACGAGAAGGCAAAUGUCUGCACCUGUUAACUUUUUGACUAACUUACAAGAUGUAUAUAACUUACUACAUAACAUUUGGUGUUAGUUGAUAAAGUUGAUCACGUAUUCUAGGAUUCUGUUGUUGAAGUGUUGGUCGUUGGACCCGUGCAGACAUCUAGUUUACAUAGAGAAGGAUGUAUUGGGUCGUCCUUGCAAUGCACCCACAAAUUCUCCAUGGUGUACAACGACCACUUGACAUGACAAUAUUCGCAAAAAUUCUCAUAUUUUUUCAUUGAUGAUUUUA